AAAGUGCGACAAGUGUCACGACUUGCAGAUACCCGAGAGCUGACAAAUUUCUGAAUGCAAAUUGCAGCCAUGUUAACCUGGCUAUGUAUUGCAGAGAGUACUUCGCUUAUGUGCUUCAUCCAGAAUUGCUACAAUGCGUCUGGGACAUGCGACUUCCCGUCAUCACGACGCGGAGGUUGUCAAAGGAAGAAAACCACGAGUUUUCCCGGAAUUAUUAACCUGAGACGAGUGUGUUUUAGAGGAUCCACAUCCUCUUUCUCGCUAUUCGCUUCUCACCCCUCACCUCUGCAAUGCAGGAGAACCCGCUGAACUUAA
rnacentral:misc_RNA from 1 species